GCGGCCGUGGUCUAGCCUGGUCUAGGACUCGGGCCUUCCAAGCUCUCGGGAAACCCGGGUUCAAAUCCCGGCGGCCGCA
rnacentral:tRNA from 1 species